CGGCCAGUCAUUAGCCACAUAGAAAUUAAAAUCCCAUACUCUGUCAUUCAUAUAGGUCAACAAAGUUUGAUGGAACUGUGAAAAAGAAAGAUAACAAUGUUAAAAAACGUUAAAAGGUGUAAACAAUUGUCGAGAGUUUAUUCAAGCUAUGGAACCGCGAAGAAACAGUUGGAAAUCUUCUUCAUCUCACGAAAGAAUUAGAAGAGUACAAACUCUUGGGGUAGUUAAAGGGAAGCUUUUUUUUUUUUCGCAAUGCGCAUUGACUAAAGGCAACAUCUUGUCAGAUGAAAAGGUGGAUAUUUACGAGGAAGCUGCAGGAUAAAGGGGAGCCUAGCCAAGGGCGAUGCUCCAGACGUCGCCUCUUAAAAUAAACUACCACGUGCUAUAUCUAAUACUUUCGUGUUUAAAGCGUUCCUUUUCUUAGUCAAAUAUUGCAAUGAUCUUCAUUUUGCAACGAGUAAGCGGAAUGGAUUCCAUCCAUUUGCCUACUUUUAUUAUCAUCAAUAGAAAAAUCUAAAUCAGAAAUAUAUUAUUAAAAUUAAAUAAACUU